GGAGGGAUGGCAGAGCGGUUGAAUGCACCGGUCUUGAAAACCGGCGAAGGUGCGAGCCUUCCCAGGGUUCGAAUCCCUGUCCCUCCGCCA
rnacentral:tRNA from 2 species